rnacentral:rRNA from 1 species
UACGUAGGGGGCAAGCGUUGUCCGGAUUUAUUGGGCGUAAAGAGCGUGUAGGCGGCCAUUCAGGUCAGCUGUGAAACUCGAGGCUCAACCUCGAGACGUCGGUUGAAACCGUUUGGCUAGAGUCCGGAAGAGGAGAGUGGAAUUCCCGGUGUAGCGGUGAAAUGCGCAGAUAUCAGGAGGAACACCGAUGGCGAAGGCAGGUCUCUGGGCCACUACUG